UGGGGAAUAUUUCGCAAUGGGGGAAACCCUGACGCAGCGACGCCGCGUGCGGGAUGAAGGCCUUCGGGUUGUAAACCGCUUUUGAUUGGGAGCAAGCUUUCGGGUGAGUGUACCUUUCGAAUAAGCGCCGGCUAACUACGUGCCAGCAGCCGCGGUAAUACGUAGGGCGCAAGCGUUAUCCGGAAUUAUUGGGCGUAAAGAGCUUGUAGGCGGUUCGUCGCGUCUGGUGUGAAAGCCCAUCGCUUAACGGUGGGUUUGCGCCGGGUACGGGCGGGCUAGAGUGCAGUAGGGGAGACUGGAAUUCCCGGUGUAACGGUGGAAUGUGUAGAUAUCGGGAAGAACACCAAUGGCGAAGGCAGGUCUCUGGGCUGUUACUGACGCUGAGAAGCGAAAGCGUGGGGAGCGAACAGG
rnacentral:rRNA from 1 species